rnacentral:rRNA from 1 species
GACGAACGCUGGCGGCGUGCUUAACACAUGCAAGUCGAACGGAAAGGCCCCUUUGGGGGUACUCGAGUGGCGAACGGGUGCGUAACACGUGAGUAACCUGCCCUUGACUUCGGGAUAACUUCAGGAAACUGGGGCUAAUACCGGAUAGGAAUCCUUGCUGCAUGGUGGGGGUUGGAAAGCUUCGGCGGGUUUGGAUGGACUCGCGGCUUAUCAGCUUGUUGGUGUGGUAGUGGCUUACCAAGGCUUUGACGGGUAGCCGGCCUGAGAGGGCGACCGGCCACAUUGGGACUGAGAUACGGCCCAGACUCCUACGGGAGGCAGAAGUGGGGAAUAUUGAACAAUGGGCGGAAGCCUGAUGCAGAAACGCCGCGUGCGGGAUGACGGCCUUCGGGUUGUAAACCGAUUUCAGCAGGGGCGAAGCUUGUGGUGACGGUACCUGCAGAAGAAGCACCGGCUAACUACGUG